AUUGAACGCUGGCGGCAGGCUUAACACAUGCAAGUCGAACGAUGACUAACUAGCUUGCUAGUUAUGAUUAGUGGCGGACGGGUGAGUAACAUUUAGGAAUCUGCCUAGUAGUGGGGGAUAGCUCGGGGAAACUCGAAUUAAUACCGCAUACGACCUACGGGUGAAAGGGGGCGCAAGCUCUUGCUAUUAGAUGAGCCUAAAUCAGAUUAGCUAGUUGGUGGGGUAAAGGCCCACCAAGGCGACGAUCUGUAACUGGUCUGAGAGGAUGAUCAGUCACACCGGAACUGAGACACGGUCCGGACUCCUACGGGAGGCAGCAGCGGGGAAUAUUGGACAAUGGGGGCAACCCUGAUCCAGCCAUGCCGCGUGUGUGAAGAAGGCCUUUUGGUUGUAAAGCACUUUAAGCAGGGAGGAGAGGCUAAUGGUUAAUACCCAUUAGAUUAGACGUUACCUGCAGAAUAAGCACCGGCUAACUCUGUGCCAGCAGCCGCGGUAAUACAGAGGGUGCGAGCGUUAAUCGGAAUUACUGGGCGUAAAGCGAGUGUAGGUGGCUCAUUAAGUCACAUGUGAAAUCCCCGGGCUUAACCUGGGAACUGCAUGUGAUACUGGUGGUGCUAGAAUAUGUGAGAGGGAAGUAGAAUUCCAGGUGUAGCGGUGAAAUGCGUAGAGAUCUGGAGGAAUACCGAUGGCGAAGGCAGCUUCCUGGCAUAAUAUUGACACUGAGAUUCGAAAGCGUGGGUAGCAAACAGGAUUAGAUACCCUGGUAGUCCACGCCGUAAACGAUGUCUACUAGCCGUUGGGGUCCUUGAGACUUUAGUGGCGCAGUUAACGCGAUAAGUAGACCGCCUGGGGAGUACGGCCGCAAGGUUAAAACUCAAAUGAAUUGACGGGGGCCCGCACAAGCGGUGGAGCAUGUGGUUUAAUUCGAUGCAACGCGAAGAACCUUACCUGGUCUUGACAUAGUGAGAAUCCUGCAGAGAUGCGGGAGUGCCUUCGGGAAUUCACAUACAGGUGCUGCAUGGCUGUCGUCAGCUCGUGUCGUGAGAUGUUGGGUUAAGUCCCGCAACGAGCGCAACCCUUUUCCUUAUUUGCCAGCGGGUUAAGCCGGGAACUUUAAGGAUACUGCCAGUGACAAACGGGAGGAAGGCGGGGACGACGUCAAGUCAUCAUGGCCCUUACGACCAGGGCUACACACGUGCUACAAUGGUAGGUACAGAGGGUUGCUACACAGCGAUGUGAUGCUAAUCUCAAAAAGCCUAUCGUAGUCCGGAUUGGAGUCUGCAACUCGACUCCAUGAAGUCGGAAUCGCUAGUAAUCGCAGAUCAGAAUGCUGCGGUGAAUACGUUCCCGGGCCU
rnacentral:rRNA from 1 species